rnacentral:lncRNA from 1 species
AAUCAUGAUGAUAGACUGGUACAACAUAUGUGUUUACGAUGAAAUGCUUCCACGAACAAUGAUUCCACGAUGAAGUUCUCUCUGCAACAGUCAGAUCCACAAUGGACAGUUUUAAUUUGCAUAUACGACAUCCGAUGGACAAGCUCUUUCCACAAUACACGAACCACGACGGAUGGCACUGUCUGCAGUACUCUUACUAUUCAAACCUCCGAUAAACUUUGUAUUAAC